CCCAUGUAUCACACUCCCAUACCCUUAUUAGAGAUUUCUACAGCAUGAAUCCUAGGAGACAUGCUAGACAGUGGGAGAGAGCCCUAGACUAUGCAAGGUAAAAAUAAAAAAUCGGAGCUGCUGAGUAUAUGCAGAAAGAUACCAGACCUUCCAUGGUCCAGAGACCAGCCCAGUGGCCUUAACUUUGGAUCAGCAGAGGGAAAAAUAACUAGGGGAUGGCUGCUUACACACAGCCAAUAGAAGGGCCCCCUUUGCAAGCUACAUAUCAGAGGAAAGAGACCUUGGGAGGUAUUGAUAAGUGGCAAAGAAGUAGCUGGAGAAAGAGAUACAUGUCUAAGAAAGCUUUUAGAGAUUAUUGAGCUUGGGGACCAGACAGACUAAUUCAAGGAGCCAUCUGCUUCAUCUCCUAUAAGGCCUGUUAUGGGAGUCUGGGUGAGCUGGGUUAGGGUGAAAGCUCAUUCCCAAGGAAUGCCCUUUGUACAUUCCAACAAGCCUCUGUUAAGACACUGCUCUGCACCAGGCACUGUCCUAGGGACCCGAGAUCCCAAGACAAAAUAAAGCAUUUCCUGCCCUCAAGGGUGGUAAGGGACCAGACAGCUCACAGAGAGUUUUUCUAGAGCAUAGGAGCCAAAGCAUAGUGGGGAGAAUGUGGGACAGAUUGGAAGGCCUAUAGAAAGAGGUCUGGGAAAGCUUCUCCCUGAAGAGGGAGAGCUUCACUCACAGACGUUGUGUCCUGUGUGUGUCCUGGUGCGACCUUGGGAAAGGAAGCUGGAGACAUCAGCUUUGAGCCUCCACCAUUGGACACGUUUGUUUGGGGUAUUUGGAUUCCACCACCUGGGCAAUAAGCAGUUUGGGGCUCUGUGGCGUUUAGAGAAGCCACAUGGUCUGAUAGCAAGCCAGCCUCCCAAUCAAGACCUGAGUUCAAGAGGGGCACAUACUGUGACCCUGGGUAGAUCCCUUCACCUGAGUGCUCUUGGGCAAGUCUCUAAGACUGUGAGUGCCGGGGGUGUGGUUUAUCUGCAUUGGGUGAGGGGGGUGUUUCUACACUAGAACUUGCCUCCCAUUGAUGAAAUCACAAGUCCGGACCAAAAAAUAACACUAAGCAUUUGAGGUGGGAUCAAUGUUGAUCCAGAAAAUGAAACCCCAGAAGAUAAGCAUCAGCUGGGGAAUAGCCAAGAAAAGAUGAAGAUGAGAAGCAGAGAGAAGCUCGGAGUCCCCCGCUGGACAGACGCGCGCGCUGGGAGCAGGGCGAUGUACCCACCUCCACACCAGCCGAAAGCCAAAGAGCGCUUCUAAACGUUAUGGUCAGCACCGAGCUUGCCCCUGAGGGAGAGACAGCUUCUCUUCUUUGCCCAGGCGGGGGCCUGGGAGUGCGGACGCUGCCGCACUGCCUGCCUUAGUGGGC
rnacentral:lncRNA from 1 species